CAAAAUAGGGAUUUAUUAUAAAAACUAUACAAACUUUUUAUCACUCACAAAUGAUGAAAAAUUUUAAACAAUUAGUAUCCUCCCUCCAAAAUAGUGUGUUCUGUCUUUACAGUCUUCACUGGCAGUGCAUUCAGAUAGUAUAGAAAAUAACAAACAUUCCAUAUAACUUUGUCCCUACAGUAAAUAAUUUUUUAAAACUUUUCAUCAAGUUUCAGUGUUACUGAAGUUAAUUAUAGACAGUAAGGAUUACAGAAUAAGCAGUAAAUGGUCACCUGCACUGUAUUUUUCAAAGCAAAAAUUGUUUUAUAUUUUCUAUGUUGUUUUAUCCUGCCCCAAACACUUAAAGCAAAAGUUAAAUAUUUUUCCAGUUACCUGAAACUUCAAAAAUCUAUUGUACUUUGAAAAAACUUUAAAAAGCAGCAUCAUUUAAAUAGUGGUUAACUCAUAAACGUGUAUGCAACAACAUUCCACAACCCUAAUACCACUCAGGCCUGCAGAGUCACCAGCUCACAAUAAUUCAGUGCUCUGAAAGCUGGGGGGAAAGCCCCUGAGUAGUAAGUAUGCAACCCAGGGUGUCGGGUGCUUUCUUGUGGUGAAACAAGGGUGUCAAAACUGAGGGGACUCUCCAAGGUCCUAAUGAAAAGCAGCUCCUCUAAACACCUGAAUCCUUUUUGACUCCAUUCUCAUCACUUUAAGGAUGAAGCCUUUCUGUACAAAGGCUUUGUACAGAAAUUAUUAAAAACUAUAUUUUACACUAAUGCUAACAGCUAAUUGAGCAGAAAGAACUAUGAAGUACAAAUUUUUCUAAGGUUUUCUUAUUAAUGGCAAUACAGACUUUUUUUUUUUUUGAGACGGAGUCUCGCUCUGUUGCCCAGGGUGGAGUGCAGUGGCGUGAUCUUGGCUCACUGCAACCUCUGCCUCCUGGGUUCAAGCGAUUCUCCUGCCUCAGCCUCCCGAGUAGCUGAUGUAAGAGGAUGGCUUGAGCCUUAGAGUUUGAGGUUGCAGUGAGCUAUGAUAGUGUCACUGCAGUCCAGCAUGGGUGACAGAAAGAGAUCCUGUCUCUAAAAAAUAAAAAUAUGGGUUUGCACCCACUAGCAUUGAGGAGAUGAUCACUCUAACGGUCCUUGAGCUAUGAGAUAGUUCAUAAACAAACAUAUAUAAAGGGUAUAUGCUAAAAUUAUUUUUACCAAUAGGAAUAGUUAUGUCAAAAAGUUUAGAGACAACUGCUCUAGACUACUUUAUAAAGUUGAAAAUUAAGAGACCUCUUUAUUUCUGUUUUCUCAUUCCUCACAUCUAUCCUAUGAGAUAGUUUCACAGAUGAUGGAACAAAGUUUCAAUACAUCGUCCAAGGUUAUAAGCUAGAAAGGGAACUAGUGACAGAGCCAGAAUGCAUAUAGAAGGUUUUUUCCUGACUUUAUAAUUUAUGCUCAUUCUCCUCAUGAAAAGUACAUUAAAUUACUAGAAAUUAUAACCUAUCAUCCCUCCAUCCUCUAAGCAUUAACAAAAGAGGGGAAGCCCAUUAAGUAGUAGUUGGUUUUUGUGGUCUUUUUGUUUUGUUUUUGAGACAGGGUCUUGUUCAGUCGCCCAGGCUGGAGUGCAAUGGCACCAUCAUAGCUCACUGCAGCCUCAACCUCCCGGGUUCAAGCAAUCCUCUAGCCUCAGCCUCCCAGAGUAGCUGAGACCACAGGUGUGCACUACAACACCUGGCUAAUUUUUUUUUUUUUUUUUUCAGUAGAGAUGGGGAAUCACUAUGUUGCCCAGGCUGGUCUCAAACUUGAGCUCAAGCAAUCCUCCCACUUGGUCUCCCAAAGUGCUGGGAUUAUAGGCAUGAGCCACCAUGCUCAGCCAUUAGGAAGUAUUUUAUUUAGCACAUGUAGGGUAGAGCCUUGAAUCUGUAUUUCAAAAACAUCCCCAUGUGAAUCUGUCAUUUCGCCAAGCCUACACAACACUGCUUUUCAUCAGACUAUCCAGUAGUCUUAGAAAAAAAAAGUCUUCAGAGAGACAAGGGACACAUGACUUGUACUCUAUUAUAUCCUGCAUUCUCUAUAGAGUUGACAGCCUCAUGAAAUGGCUAUUUUUAUGUCUAACAGUCCCAUCAACUUUAUUCUAGUAUUUUAAGAACAUUGUCACAGAAAGGAAACAACCAAAUAGAAUACUUUUGAGUACAGAUGCUGUUUUUGUUUGUUUUUGACAAUAAUCAGGAAAUGUAAGUUAUUAAACAAUGGCAAAGAAAGUUAACUUAUAAGUUAACCAGAUUUUAAAAACUGAUAGCAAUUGAAUUACUUUUUAAAAACACCAAAAAAACCCCAGAACCAGCCCUGUGCUACUGCCCCAGGGUGAUUAAGUACCUGAGGGACACCUGGGGUUUGGCAGCGGAUGGGAGUGGAGGUUGAGGGUACAACAGAAGACCAGAAACAAAGUACCAGGUUCCCCGACUCAGCUGCCAUCAGAGCCUUUACCUCCUUAUUUCCUUUACCUCCAUUAUUUCUAAUAAACACAUACCACUUAUCACAACAAAUAGAUACAAAGCUACCUCUAAAGACAUUCUA
ensembl:lncRNA novel transcript, antisense to TM7SF3